rnacentral:rRNA from 1 species
UACUCCUACGGGAGGCAGCAGUGAGGAAUAUUGCGCAAUGGGGGCAACCCUGACGCAGUGACGCCGCGUGAGUGAUGAAGGCUUUCGAGUCGUAAAGCUCUGUUAGGUGGAAAGAAACAUUCCGGCGCUAAUAUCGCCGGGACUUGACGGUACCACCAGAGGAAGCACCGGCUAACUCCGUGCCAGCAGCCGCGGUAAUACGGAGGGUGCAAGCGUUGUUCGGAUUUACUGGGCGUAAAGGGCGUGUAGGCGGUUGGCUAAGUCAGAUGUGAAAUCCCUUGGCUUAACUAAGGAACGGCAUUUGAAACUAGCUAACUAGAGUACAGGAGAGGAAAGUGGAAUUCCCAGUGUAGAGGUGAAAUUCAUAGAUAUUGGGAGGAACACCGGUAGCGAAGGCGGCUUUCUGGCCUGAUACUGACGCUGAGACGCGAAAGCGUGGGUAGCAAACAGGAUUAGAUACCCUGGUAGUCA